UACGGAGGAUGCAAGCGUUAUCCGGAAUUAUUGGGCGUAAAGCGUCCGUAGGUUGUUUUACAAGUCAGUUGUUAAAGCGUGGGGCUUAACUCCAUAAGAGCGAUUGAAACUGUGAGACUAGAGUGCGGCAGGGGUAAGGGGAAUUCCCAGUGUAGCGGUGAAAUGCGUAGAUAUUGGGAAGAACACCGGUGGCGAAAGCGCCUUGCUGGGCCUGCACUGACACUGAGGGACGAAAGCCAGGGGAGCGAAAGGG
rnacentral:rRNA from 1 species